UCCCUGGUGGCUCAGUUGGUAAGGAAUCUGCCUGCAAUGCAGAAGAUCUAGGUUUGAUCCCUGGGUGGAGAA
rnacentral:tRNA from 1 species